UAAGAACAUGUGACUCUUCACUCCGCACAGCAUUGUGGUCUGUACCAGUACCAGGUACAGACCGCAAUGCUGUGCGGAGUGAAGAGUCACAUGUCCAUGCAUGAA
rnacentral:miRNA from 1 species